rnacentral:tRNA from 1 species
UGGACUUAUAGCUUAAAGGCAAAGCAGAUGGCUCAUGACCAUUUUAUUGGGGGUUCGAGUCCCUCUAAGUCUAA